rnacentral:rRNA from 1 species
GAAAUCGGGAUUAAUACCCCAUAACAUCUGGAGAUCACAUGUUUUCCAGAUAAAAGCUCCGGCGGUUAUAGAUGGGCAUGCGUGACAUUAGCUUGUUGGUGAGGUAACGGCUCACCAAGGCAACGAUGUCUAGGGGUUCUGAGAGGAUUUUCCCCCACACUGGUACUGAGACACGGACCAGACUCCUACGGGAGGCAGCAGUAAGGAAUAUUGGGCAAUGGACGAAAGUCUGACCCAGCCAUGCCGCGUGCAGGAUGACGGCCCUACGGGUUGUAAACUGCUUUUAUAUGGGAAGAAACCUCAUUACGUGUAAUGAGCUGACGUAACCAUACGAAUAAGCAUCGGCUAACUCCGUGCCAGCAGCCGCGGUAAUACGGAGGAUGCAAGCGUUAUCCGGAUUCAUUGGGUUUAAAGGGUGCGCAGGCGGGACGAUAAGUCAGUGGUGAAAUCCUACGGCUCAACCGUAGAACUGCCAUUGAUACUGCCGUUCUUGAGUACAGUUGAAGUGGGCGGAAUGUGUCAUGCAGCGGUGAAAUGCUUAGAUAUGACACAGAACACCGAUCGCG